UUAAAAGCACUGAUAAGGACAUGAGUUACUUUUUACGGUUUCCAGAGAGGGAAGGAGAGCUGAAAUCUUCCUAACGCAGGAGAGUAACUUACCACCUUUGAGCUGUAUUGGAGAAUGAAGUACCCAAUACCGUCUAUGCUACGUUACAGCACCAGAGCCGUAAGUUCUCUUUUUACUUAUGGGAAAUUGGGUGGAACCACGGGUAGAACGCACUCGUCCCUUCU
rnacentral:ncRNA from 1 species